AGCAGCCGCGGUAAUUCCAGCUCCAAUAGCGUAUAUUAAAGUUGUUGCAGUUAAAAAGCUCGUAGUUGAAUUUCGGGAUCAAUAUGUUGGUCGUGCCUCGGUACGUACUAGCAUAUUGGUUUCUCCUUUCUGAAGAACCAUGAUGUCAUUUAUUUGGUGUCGUGGGGAAUCAGGACUGUUACUUUGAAAAAAUUAGAGUGUUUAAAGCAGGCUCACGCUUGAAUACAUUAGCAUGGAAUAAUGAAAUAGGACGUUUGAUUCUAUUUUGUUGGUUUCUAGGAUCGACGUAAUGAUUAAUAGGGAUAGUUGGGGCGAUUAGUAUUCAAUUGUCAGAGGUGAAAUUCUUGGAUUUAUUGAAGACUAACUACUGCGAAAGCAAUUUGCCAAGGAUGUUUUCAUUAAUCAAGAACGAAAGUUAGGGGAUCGAAGACGAUCAGAUACCGUCGUAGUCUUAACCAUAAACUAUGCCGACUAGGGAUCGGAUGAUGUUAAUUUUUUAAUGACUCAUUC
rnacentral:misc_RNA from 1 species